AACAACACCAUUGACCGUAAGGGAUUCCUUCUGGUCAAUGAAGUUAUUAUGCCUCAUUGACCGGAAGGGAUUCCUUCCGGUCAAUGAGGUUGUU
rnacentral:miRNA from 1 species